rnacentral:pre_miRNA from 1 species
AAAUUACUCCCUUCGUCCGAAAAUACUUGUCAUCAAAAUGGACAAAAAGGAAUGUAUCUAGAACUAAAAUACGUCUAGAUACAUCCCCUUUUAUUCAUUUUGAUGACAAGUAUUUCCGGACGGAGGGAGUAUUUA